rnacentral:rRNA from 1 species
UACGAGGGGGGCAAGCGUUGGUUCGGAAUUAUUGGGCGUAAAGGGUGCGUAGGCGGUUUUGUAAGUCUUGUGUGAAAUCUUCAGGCUCAACUUGAAGACUGCACGAGAAACUGCAGGGGCUUGAGUGUGGGAGAGGUGAGUGGGAAUUCCUGGUGUAGCGGUGAAAAUGCGUAGAUAUCAGGAGGAACACCUGUGGCGAAAGCGGCUCACUGGACCACAACUGACGCUGAUGCACGAAAGCUAGGGGAGCAAACAGG